AGUUGGGGGGAGGGGAGAGGAGAGAGAGUGUGAGAGAGAGAGAGAGAGUGGGGGAGGGGAGAGGAAAGAUAGAGAGAAAAAAAGAACUGCCACUGUCCCUUCCUCCUGCUCGAGUUAGUCUAACGUAUUUACCCAGACCUCCAUCCACCUGUUUGCAAUAGGCCUCGAUUUCCCCCUCCCCUCCCCCACACAAACAAACAACAACAACAUCCCCCUCCCCUCCUACCAUCACCACCCUUUAAUGAACAGCCUCAGGUUUGAUGGGGCUUGUGCUUGAAGCAGCCUCUAAGCGGGUCAGUCAGGAACCGGCCUGUUGCUGAGGGAGAGGGGGAGGUAGGUAGCCCUCGCUCGAGGCAACAAUCUCAAUUUUACCGCUCCUUUUCCUUUAAAACCGAGCCAAGCGACCAUACGUGUUUUUAUUUGUACAAAUAUGUUUGAAAUUGGGCUGCAACGUUACACUGAAAUCGGCGACGGCCUCUGCUCUUAGCUUUAGUUGGGGUUGUUAGUUUAUAUUUUUUUUGGCUGGAGGUCAGAGGGGAAAGGGCAGAUUCCCCCCACCCCCUGCCGGCAGCAGGUCCGCCCAGGGCUGUCCUGACCUGGAAGCAGGAGAGAAAGAGGGGGGUGUUUAAAAACAAAGUUCUAGCGGUAGGGUUUCUCUCUUUUUGCGCUCAGCUUCUACAUGUCUCGCUAUUUGCAGGAGGAUUUUCUGCACCAGAAAUGACGGCGCGGGGUACAGAAUCUGAAGAUCCAUUCGAUGUUUGCUUGUUACAAUUGCCUAUUACAUUCCGAAAAGUGUCCCCAGCUGGGCUCAACAUGGACUCGAAAGACAGAUGGAUUUGAACCAGGCUAUCCUUUAAAGCUUUAAGACUCUGGUUUUUAGCUGCUUUUCUAGCUGUUCUGUACUAUGGAAAACGUGUUGCUGAACAUAAUCAGCUAAAUAAGAAAAUUGUUGCCUCGCUUAUUGAGGAAGAUGUGCCAUCUAGAGAGUGGUGCUAGCAUUUGACAUUUCCAGAAUAACAUGUAACGAAUUGUAGCUUUCUGAAGGGCUGAUACAGUUAAUAGGCAGACCAAACUUGGAUUAAUCACGAGAUAUCUGAUUUCGGGGCAGGGGUAUUAAAUUGUGGGCACCUUCCGACCGAGGAACUGGGCUAGGGCAAACGUUUUGUUGGUCACAGUUCCUGUUAACAAAGUUGAAAGCUAGUACGGAUUUGUCCAUUCAACAGAGAGUGUGAGCUAAUUUUCAAAAUGUGUAUGUCGAGGGAGGGGAGUAAAGGCAUGUGUUGUGGAAGCUCGGGAAACUUGGUUUUCACUAACUAGACACGUGGUCAGCUUCGGGGAUUUUUUUUAAAAUGAGAGAGUCCAGGGCGUUAUAUAAAUUGCUUUCGGAGGGGGAAUCCAUUGGAUCUUAUUGCUUUAAUCUGUGUUUUCGUAAUGCCAUUUUUCCACCCAUCUAGAAAUAGCGACUGCUCUUGCCGGGAGGAGUGUUGCGCCAUCGGCCACUGAUCACACACCAGGACCAUCUGGCUCCAAAUGAACUGUGGCUGUGUCCACUCCUGAAUGGGAGCAAUACUGCAUUUGCAGAACAGGGUCGUUGACAUACUUUUUUUUGUAAAUGGCGGCCGAAGUACAGUAUUUCAUGGCUACAAGCAUAGCCACACUGUACACAAGUGUUCCACGUUUCAUUUUUCAAUGGUGGGUCAACUCAUUGCAGCAAGUUAACGGGUCUACCUGUGCUCGACUCGAUUAGUAGUUUAUGCAGACAUCUUUAGGAUUAAUUAGAAAGUAAACUUGUUUUUGUGGCCUUUUUAACGGUUCUAGAUGCGGAUCUAAUUCUAUGACUGAGCUAGCAAGUAGAGCCUGCACUGAAAGUGGCAGUAUUACUCAUUCUAUAUCCAUAUAAACAAAACUAAAUCAUUUGAGUUUUUUAACAACACUUUCAAACAUUCCCUGAAGUAAGUAAAACCCUGAUAGCUGAUUUUAAAGUUUGUGGAUCAAGACUAGGUUUCUGGAAUUUUAUGCUUGCCAGGAAUUAAGAACUUAAAACAAUCUGAAUUAUGAAGAAAUCAUCUUUUUGUAGCUACAUUUUUCUUGUGGUACUGGUUCAAGAGGAUUCCAGACAGAGGGAAGAAAUCCAAUUGAAGUAUUGUCUGUAAUGAGAGAAUUGCAGUGACAAACAACAUAGUUGGUGAAUGAGCUGUAGAAGCAGCUCCAUUGUUACUUGGGAAGGAUGUCUUUUAUAGGCUUGCUUUAUGGGUGGAUUGUCUUUUUUUAGUACAAAAGUAAGAAGAUUUCUUUGAGUGUUAAACAGCUAAACUUGUGUACGCAAGUAAAUUCAUAAAGUGGCUGUAAUCAUGUAUGUGUUAAUGUUCUAAAUUGGAACUUCUGAUGUGGAAAUGUGAAAUGUCACUGACUUCCCUGGUUUGGCUUUCAGAUUCUUGACUGAGAUUACUGCUGAAUGGAUAUUAAUUGUGAAUAUAAACUUGGUUUUUAUGAAAUCGACUUCCUGUUUUAGAUGAGGAAUCUGCCAUUCUUAAUCAUCUGGCCUACAUGUGAUCCAAACCUCUCCACUGACUCAACUGCCCUCAGAAAUGGCUGUGGAAUCCACUCGGU